rnacentral:rRNA from 1 species
AGGUGUGAUCAAACCAGCACUAAUGCACCAGAUCCCAGUGGAACUCAAGAGUUAAGCUUGCUUGGGCAAAAGUAGUACUAAGAUGGGCUUUGUCACAUGACUU